CCAUGGCCAACAUGACCACUCAGGUAAGGUUGAUCGAGGCGAUGUGCACUCUCCAGCAAACAUUUGUGGAGUAUGCAGGGAAAUCAGGAGACCAAAACAGUAUGACUCAAGAAGAUUUUGCUUUGAUGCUCCAUAAAGAGUGCUGCGUACAGCUCGACAGCAAUCAGUCACUGAAGGAGUUCUUCGACAAGCUGGAUUCCAAUGGUGACGGUGUUAUCGACUUCAAUGAGUUUUGCGUUCUUAUGGCAACAUUCUUGAAAUUGUUGGAACCUGCCGGUAUGUGAAACGAUUGUGCAUGUUUAUGCUUGCUUUAACAAGGACAACAUGAGUCCUCGAGAACCUAUACACUUCUUAAAAAGUAUGUCUUUUUUGAUUACAUAUGAUUAAAAUGUGGUGAAC